ACACGACUCUCGGCAACGGAUAUCUCGGCUCUCGCAUCGAUGAAGAACGUAGCGAAAUGCGAUACCUGGUGUGAAUUGCAGAAUCCCGCGAACCAUCGAGUCUUUGAACGCAAGUUGCGCCCGAGGCCACCCGGCCGAGGGCACGCCUGCUUGGGCGUCACGC
rnacentral:rRNA from 1 species